CCAGACUCCUACGGGAGGCAGCAGUAGGGAAUCUUCGGCAAUGGACGAAAGUCUGACCGAGCAACGCCGCGUGAGUGAAGAAGGUUUUCGGAUCGUAAAACUCUGUUGGUAGAGAAGAACGUUGGUGAGAGUGGAAAGCUCAUCAAGUGACGGUAACUACCCAGAAAGGGACGGCUAACUACGUGCCAGCAGCCGCGGUAAUACGUAGGUCCCGAGCGUUGUCCGGAUUUAUUGGGCGUAAAGCGAGCGCAGGUGGUUUAUUAAGUCUGGUGUAAAAGGCAGUGGCUCAACCAUUGUAUGCAUUGGAAACUGGUAGACUUGAGUGCAGGAGAGGAGAGUGGAAUUCCAUGUGUAGCGGUGAAAUGCGUAGAUAUAUGGAGGAACACCGGUGGCGAAAGCGGCUCUCUGGCCUGUAACUGACACUGAGGCUCGAAAGCGUGGGGAGCAAACAGGAUUAGAUACCCUGGUAGUCCACGCCGUAAACGAUGAGUGCUAGAUGUAGGGAGCUAUAAGUUCUCUGUAUCGCAGCUAACGCAAUAAGCACUCCGCCUGGGGAGUACGACCGCAAGGUUGAAACUCAAAGGAAUUGACGGGGGCCCGCACAAGA
rnacentral:rRNA from 1 species